AUUGAACGCUGGCGGCAUGCUUUACACAUGCAAGUCGAACGGUAACAGGGUGCUUGCACCGCUGACGAGUGGCGAACGGGUGAGUAAUGCGUCGGAACGUGCCGAGUAGUGGGGGAUAACGCAGCGAAAGUUGUGCUAAUACCGCAUACGUACUGAGGUAGAAAGUGGGGGACCUUCGGGCCUCACGCUAUUCGAGCGGCCGACGUCUGAUUAGCUAGUAGGUGAGGUAAAGGCUCACCUAGGCGACGAUCAGUAGCGGGUCUGAGAGGAUGGGCCGCCGAACUGGGACUGGGACACGGACCAGACCCCUGCGGGAGGCAGCAGGGGGGAAUUUUGGACAAUGGGCGAAAGCCUGAUCAAGCCAUGCCGCGUGUCUGAAGAAGGCCUUCGGGUUGUAAAGGACUUUUGUCAGGGAGGAAAUCCCUAGUGCUAAUAACACUGGGGGAUGACAGUACCUGAAGAAUAAGCACCGGCUAACUACGUGCCAGCAGCCGCCGUAA
rnacentral:rRNA from 1 species